GGGAAGUGAGUUCUAGAGAGAGAAAUUAAGUGAUUUUUGUGGAAUGUAGAGGAAAAGGGAAAGUGAUUUUUUAGGGAGAGAAAUGUACGCGUGUACCGUCCUUUACAUACCAACCAUGAAGCUUUCUUUUUCAUGCCGUAUUUCUCACUCUAAAAUCUCGAAACCCAAAACCGAAUAGACAAACAUGAACUGUCUUUGCAUGUUUCUGCCGCAACCCACUUCUUUAUUUCAUCCAUUCAAUGACAAAUUUGGAAGCGCUAUUCUUUUUUUGUCUUUUUGCUCUCUAUUAUUUCACUUAUUUAUUUCCUCCUCUCUCUCUCUCUACUCCCACGUCGCUCACCCUCCUGUAUUUCACUUUU
rnacentral:lncRNA from 1 species